rnacentral:rRNA from 1 species
GUGUGCCUACGGGGGGCAGCAGUGGGGGAUAUUGCACAAUGGGGGGAACCCUGAUGCAGCGACGCCGCGUGGGUGAAGGAGUGCUUCGGCAUGUAAAGCCCUAUCGGCAGGGAAGAAGCAAGACGGUACCUGACUAAGAAGCCCCGGCUAACUACGUGCCAGCAGCCGCGGUAAUACGUAGGGGGCGAGCGUUAUCCGGAAUUACUGGGUGUAAAGGGAGCGUAGACGGUGAUGCAAGUCUGGAGUGAAAGGCGGGGGCCCAACCCCC